rnacentral:rRNA from 1 species
UACGUAGGGUGCAAGCGUUUGUCCGGAAUUAUUGGGCGUAAAGAGCUCGUAGGCGGUCUGUCGCGUCUGCUGUGAAAACUCAGGGCUUAACCCUGAGCUUGCAGUGGGUACGGGCGGACUAGAGUGCGGUAGGGGGAGACUGGAAUUCCUGGUGUAGCGGUGAAAUGCGCAGAUAUCAGGAGGAACACCGGUGGCGAAGGCGGGUCUCUGGGCCGUAACUGACGCUGAGGAGCGAAAGCAUGGGGAGCGAACAGG